GAUCCAGGUCUCCGGGGUCCGCUUUGGCCAGAGGCGCGGAAGGAAGCAGUGCCCGGCGACACUGCACCCAUCCCGGCUGCUUUUGCUGCGCCCUCUCAGCUUCCCAAGAAAGGCAUCGUCAUGUGAUCAUCACCUAAGAACUAGAACAUCAGCAGGCCCUAGAAGCCUCACUCUUGCCCCUCCCUUUAAUAUCUCAAAGGAUGACACUUCUGUGGUGUGUAGUGAGUCUCUACUUUUAUGGAAUCCUGCAAAGUGAUGCCUCAGGUAAGUGAAUGGCUUUUGACAAUGUAUUAAAAUGCAAGUCAUGCGUAGGGUAAUGAGUCCACUCUUCCUGAAAAUGAAUUUAAAUAAACAUAAUGUUAUUCAUGUCCAUUGUCUUCUGCGGUAGCAAAUAAUCAUAAAGCAGAAUAAUAGAAUUUUGAUGAUGG
rnacentral:lncRNA from 10 species